UACUGAACUGAACCUCUGAGGUUGGGACCCACGAACUGCAACUUGACAAGCUCUUCAGUUGAUCCUUGUGGUGAUCCUGACAUUUGAGAACCACUGCUGAACGUGAAAGAGGGAAAAUCAGAGUCCAAAUGCCUUCUAACUUAGAACUAUAUUCGAUGGGGUGGUGGAGACCCUUCAUUGAUGGAAUGAUAUGCCAAACCUAAGAAACACCAUACUAUAUUAUGACAAGCCUGAUGAAGUCCAGAAUACUACAUUGUUCGAAAUAAAAUGAUGUCUACGAAUGCUAAGUAGCCUACAGACCACCUGUAACCAACAUUUGAGCCUGCCAAAAGAUGAGUUCAUCCAAAACACUGUGCAAUUAGCAAAUAAAAUAUAAAUUCCAGGAGA